rnacentral:tRNA from 1 species
GGGCUGUGUAGCUCAGUGGUUGAGCACUUGCCUAGCAUGCACAAAGCCCUGGGUUUGAUCCCCAGCACCCCA